rnacentral:rRNA from 1 species
AGAGUUUGAUCCUGGCUCAGGAUGAACGCUAGCGACAGGCUUAACACAUGCAAGUCGAGGGGCAGCGAGGGAGUGGCAACACUUCUGUCGGCGACCGGCGCACGGGUGAGUAACGCGUAUGCAACCUGCCCUUCACAGGGGGAUAACCGGGAGAAAUUCCGACUAAUACCGCAUACGUCCUCCGGGGGCAUCCCCGGGGGAUGAAAGAAUUAUCGGUGAAGGAUGGGCAUGCGUGAUAUUAGGUAGUUGGCGGGGCAACGGCCCACCAAGCCCACGAUAUCUAGGGGUUCUGAGAGGAAGGUCCCCCACAUUGGUACUGAGACACGGACCAAACUCCUACGGGAGGCAGCAGUGAGGAAUAUUGGUCAAUGGACGAGAGUCUGAACCAGCCAAGUCGCGUGAAGGAAGACGGAUCUAUGGUUUGUAAACUUCUUUAGUGCGGGAACAAAGCGGCGUCGUGACGCCGGAUGAGUGUACCGCAAGAAUAAGCAUCGGCUAACUCCGUGCCAGCAGCCGCGGUAAUACGGAGGAUGCGAGCGUUAUCCGGAUUUAUUGGGUUUAAAGGGAGCGCAGGCUGCGAGGCAAGUCAGCGGUCAAAUGUCGGGGCUCAACCCCGGCCUGCCGUUGAAACUGUCCUGCUAGAGUUCGAGUGAGGUAUGCGGAAUGCGUUGUGUAGCGGUGAAAUGCAUAGAUAUGACGCAGAACUCCGAUUGCGAAGGCAGCAUACCAACUCGCGACUGACGCUGAGGCUCGAAAGCGUGGGUAUCGAACAGGAUUAGAUACCCUGGUAGUCCACGCAGUAAACGAUGAAUACUAACUGUUCGGAGGGCGACCUC